AGCGUCUGCGUUGCCAAGGGCUAAAAUAGAAUAUUUCUGAAGCAGAUCUCGCUGCAAGUCCUGCCUCUCCCAUCUCUUCAAUGGUUUACAGAAGGAGGUACCCAAGUGCCAUCUCCUCAUUGGUUAUACCCACGUGGGUGAUUGAAAGACAAACUGUUUUGCCGGUCGUCAUGGUAAUACUAUGAAAGUUUAAAUGCUAAUCACCAUAUAACUUCAAAGAUGAAAAAGCCUGGAAGGAGGAGAGAUGAAUAGAAACGAUUCGGUUGAUCGUUUUAUGUGUGGAUUGAUUGUCGGAGUAGAGGACCUUGUGCCUUUCAGCAGCUGGAUUUGGGUUCCCUGUGUGUUCAUCCCCAGGAGACACAGUGGAGCUGAAUGAAGCGUGGGACUAAAAACCAACAACAGAGAACCUUUGUAAAAAAAAAUACACUGUGACUUUAAAAUGUAUAUAGUAUGUAUAUGCUGGAAGUAGAAGCUUAAGUGUUAUUGUCUAUUAGUUU
ensembl:lncRNA